AGAGUUUGAUCCUGGCUCAGAACGAACGCUGGCGGCAGGCCUAACACAUGCAAGUCGAGUGCGCCUUCGGGUGAGCGGCGGACGGGUUAGUAACGCGUGGGAACGUGCCCUUCUCUACGGAGUAGCCUCUGGAAACGGUGAGUAAUACCGUAUACGCCCUUUGGGGGAAAGAUUUAUCGGAGAAGGAUCGGCCCGCGUUAGAUUAGGUAGUUGGUGGGGUAAUGGCCUACCAAGCCUACGAUCUAUAGCUGGUUUUAGAGGAUGAUCAGCAACACUGGGACUGAGACACGGCCCAGACUCCUACGGGAGGCAGCAGUGGGGAAUCUUAGACAAUGGGGGCAACCCUGAUCUAGCCAUGCCGCGUGAGUGAUGAAGGCCUUAGGGUCGUAAAGCUCUUUCGCCUGUGAUGAUAAUGACAGUAGCAGGUAAAGAAACCCCGGCUAACUCCGUGCCAGCAGCCGCGGUAAUACGGAGGGGGUUAGCGUUGUUCGGAAUUACUGGGCGUAAAGCGCGCGUAGGCGGAUUAGAAAGUUGGGGGUGAAAUCCCGGGGCUCAACCUCGGAACUGCCUCCAAAACUGCUAGUCUAGAGUUCGAGAGAGGUGAGUGGAAUUCCGAGUGUAGAGGUGAAAUUCGUAGAUAUUCGGAGGAACACCAGUGGCGAAGGCGGCUCACUGGCUCGAUACUGACGCUGAGGUGCGAAAGUGUGGGGAGCAAACAGGAUUAGAUACCCUGGUAGUCCACACCGUAAACGAUGAAUGCCAGUCGUCGGGUAGUAUACUAUUCGGUGACACACCUAACGGAUUAAGCAUUCCGCCUGGGGAGUACGGUCGCAAGAUUAAAACUCAAAGGAAUUGACGG
rnacentral:rRNA from 1 species